GAAGCAUUUUAGUUGAAUAUGUGUUGUGCAGUUUUCCAAAAGCCCACAACAUAAGCUUUGGACUUGGGUUUUGGCUGUCAUCUGAGCAGAUGACCCGCUGCACCAAUUCUAGGCUGCUGGAAAAAAUAGCGCGGUACGAGAGAAUGGAGAACGUGGGACUUGAAUGCUGAAAUCGUGCAGAGUGAGCCGUUGGACAAGACACAAGGUAAGGAAAGUUGUCUAUUAAAACUACUGUAGC